CGGACCUAGAGAGAAAAAUAAUUAUCUGAAGUGCUGAAUUAAAAAAAAUGCCUUCAAGAACAAUUUAAUCUACUGCUCCAUUUGAGGGAUGCUUUCUGGCUACCACUUUGCAAAAGUAUCGCUUCUCCACACAUUGCCUUUUGCAGAAAUGUGGAACUUGAAUCUUUCCCAGAGGGAGACCCACAAGCUAUACUUGUACUCAGAGUGCCCCAUCUCUCCAUCACGGUCAUGUGCCAAUUCUGUUUUGGCAUGAGACACUGAAAGUAGAGAAAAGAGGUACGUGACUCAUUUGUGCUCCAUCCUCAAGUCCUUCUGUUUGUUUGCCAGAUGCAGAGAGCCUAUUGCCACAGCAUAAUUUCAAAGAUUUCCAUUCCUCAUCUGUAUUGGACUCUGCAUAGUCUAACAAGAAACAGAGGCAAAAGUUUUCGACAACAUGGAAUGUGGGCAAGGAGAACUAAUUGGGAAUAUAUCCUGUCUAUCCACUACUAAGUGGAUAGAUCAGAACAGACUUAACAGCAACUUAGACCUACAGAUGGCAAGGAAAGGAGACUGCAUCAGUCCAGGUUAGUCAAUGUCCUGUGGUAUGGAAUAGCUGGGUGCUGACUAUGCAAGCCUCAUGCUUCCUGAACUGUCACCAGCUAUGAUUUCUUCAGGUCAGGGCGGGCAACACUUUAAUUGUGGAAGGCUGUAUAUAAAAAAUAAAGGCUGAUAGGUGCUAAUGGUAUAAAAAGACAUCCAAACUGGAGCUUAUUCAGUAUUAAGAAGAUAAAAAUGCCAUAAAUAAGCAAAAGAAAGGAAAAUAAGUUCUGCAUCUUUUAAACCCUAGUUAUUUAUAUUUUUUCAAAACUUUCUAUGACUUUCAAAAACCUAAAACUGGAACCAGGCUGCAGAGCCAGAGGUCAGGAAUUUGAUUUUGUACUAUGCCUCCUGAGAAAGGCAAGCCUCCACAGCCUUGGGUAAGCUGUACUGUGAGUCCCCUACCCUGAAAGAAUGGUAAUAAAUCACUUUACAGCAUCUAGCAUAAUUUUUGAAAAUGUGUUUCUUCUCCCUUUCCUGCAUUUUGAACUGCUGACCCUAAGGAAAAACAGAAAAGCUUUUGUGGCAUUUUGGGAAUGAAGAUAUUGUCCAUGUGCUAACCUAUGGUAUUUUCUCAUGGACUUUACCCUUAUGGAACAGCACAGCCACUUUUCAAUUUCUUGUGUUAAUAAGGCAUCCACAGUAAGCCACAAACAGCCCAGAGAUAACCAUGCUUAUAACAGCACCACAGCUUCAGUGUCAACAUUCCUCCACCAGAAGUCCGUGUUCCUGGCUCAAUACCUACGUGUUUCCCCACCUGCCAAUAUGAAAGCAGUUCAGAAAGAUCUUCCUAAUGCUUACCUGUUGAUAGGAAUGAAGUCUUCUUUACAUAUGGCAAUACCCUCAGGACCAAC